UCCUGGUUAACCCAGGCAGUCUCGUUAGAGUUCCCGCCUUGACGCGCUGGCAACUAACGAUAAGGGUUGCGCUCGUUGCUGGACUUAACCAAACACCUCACGGCACGAGCUGACGACAGCCAUGCAGCACCUAUAUAGAGGCCCUUGCGGGAGAUUACAUCUCUGUAAUCGCCCUCUACAUUUCGAGCCCAGGUAAGGUUCUUCGCGUUGCAUCGAAUUAAACCACAUGCUCCACUGCUUGUGCGGGCCCCCGUCAAUUCUUUUGAGUUUCACCCUUGCGAGCGUACUCCCCAGGCGGCAUACUUAAUGCGUUAGCUCCGGAACAGAGGGGGUUGAGCCCUCCUACUCCUAGUAUGCAUCGUUUAAGGCAAGGACUAC
rnacentral:misc_RNA from 1 species